GUUUGUCCUGGAUCACCAUCAAUCAGCCCUUCCCAACUCUGCAUUUUCUGAAGAAGCUGUAGACCCACGCUCACUGAAAGAGCAGGCUGAAGAAAGCAGGCAGGCUGCCGGGCACCAACUCACUGGCUCCUGCUCAGGGGACAAUGGCAUCCGUGCCUUCCGCUGGUUGUCUUCUGGCCAGAAAUCAGUAUUAUCGAAAGGCCAGUGUUUCUUCAGGCACCUCUUUAACUAGCCCUGAUUCUGCCAACUUCGUAGGUGAUGACAAAGCCCAGCUAGGAUCACCCGAAGUGGCAGAAUCCACCUGGUGGUUUAAAUCCUUUUUUCAGUCUGUACCUGUGCUUUCAAAUGUAAAAAGAGAAGAUCAGUCUGCUUGUGGCAUCCCAGACUCAGACUCCUUCACUGCGGAGUACACACCUGGAUGGUACCCACGGGAGCCUCCAGCUGCAGAGCAUUUGCAGCAAGACUUUACCUGCAUUCACUUGUCAGACAUAAAAAUAAAAGGAGCUCAUUAUCACUGUAAAGUGCCCAUUGUGACAGAUAUUUAUUUAUUUACAAUCCUGAAUUCUGUCACUUUUUUUUUUAAGAUUACAAUAUAUGUAGUUUUGUUUACUUUCAUUUGUCUGGAAUGUUUUGAAUGUUUUUUUGCACAAACGUUUUCUAUUUCUUUGUUUUAUAGAUAUUGCUUAUCUACCACUUGA
rnacentral:lncRNA from 1 species